CCUACGGGCGGCUGCAGUGAGGAAUAUUGGUCAAUGGGCGCGAGCCUGAACCAGCCAAGUCGCGUGAGGGAAGACGGCCCUAUGGGUUGUAAACCUCUUUUGCCGGGGAGCAAAAGACGCCACGCGUGGCGUUCCGAGAGUACCCGAAGAAAAAGCAUCGGCUAACUCCGUGCCAGCAGCCGCGGUAAUACGGAGGAUGCGAGCGUUAUCCGGAUUUAUUGGGUUUAAAGGGUGCGCAGGCGGAAGAUCAAGUCAGCGGUAAAAUUGAGAGGCUCAACCUCUUCGAGCCGUUGAAACUGGUGUUCUUGAGUGAGCGAGAAGUAUGCGGAAGGCGUGGUGUAGCGGUGAAAUGCAUAGAUAUCACGCAGAACUCCGAUUGCGAAGGCAGCAUACCGGCGCUCAACUGACGCUCAUGCACGAAAGUGUGGGUAUCGAACAGGAUUAGAUACCCGAGUAGUC
rnacentral:rRNA from 1 species